rfam:Pseudomonas alkylphenolica strain KL28 chromosome, complete genome.
CCACCCAAUGCGCCGCCAAUACCGGCUUCGGUGGUGCCACCUGCCGAGGCAACGCCACUGAGCAGGCCGAGAGACAACAACAGAAUCGAGGAGUACUUCAUCAAGAAAGCCUCAUAGGGAUGACGAGGCGAUCCUGAGGCUGGCGAAGGGGGCUGGCAACGGAAAUCCGACGAGUAACACGACUUGUGCACAAUUCGCUAAGUUACUGUUUUAACUAUGAAACUUUAUUGAUUUUACGCUGUCUGAGCUUACUUGAGACAAGGCCCCGGCAUCGCUGCCAGGGCCUUUUUUUUCGUUCUCGAACAGAGAAUGCUGUCACAGGAUGCGGGCGUUGUCGCUGGCGGCCAGCAGUUUGAUCGCGACGAACUUCGAGGUCGGGGUGUGGCUGCCGU